rnacentral:tRNA from 1 species
AUUUAUUUAGUAUAAAAAGUAUAUUUGAUUUCCAAUCAAAAAGUCUAAAAAUUAGAAUAAAUA